UAGGAUGAUGAGAUCAACCAACACAGUCAGCUGGGGGAGACGCUGAAGGAGCAGAUGAUUGACCAGGAAGAGCUGCUGGCGUCCACGCGGCGCGACUACGAGAAGAUCCAGGAGGAGCUGUGCCGGCUGCAGGCGGAGAACGAGCUGGCCAAGGAGGAGGUGAAGGAGGUGCUGCAGGCCCUGGAGGAGCUGGCCGUCAACUACGACCAGAAGAGCCAGGAGGUGGAG